rnacentral:rRNA from 1 species
GAUGAACGCUGGCGGCGUGCCUAAUACAUGCAAGUCGAGCGAACAGACGAGGAGCUUGCUCCUCUGACGUUAGCGGCGGACGGGUGAGUAACACGUGGAUAACCUACCUAUAAGACUGGGAUAACUUCGGGAAACCGGAGCUAAUACCGGAUAAUAUCUUGAACCGCAUGGUUCAAUAGUGAAAGACGGUUUUGCUGUCACUUAUAGAUGGAUCCGCGCCGCAUUAGCUAGUUGGUAAGGUAACGGCUUACCGAGGCAACGAUGCGUAGCCGACCUGAGAGGGUGAUCGGCCACACUGGAACUGAGACACGGUCCAGACUCCUACGGGAGGCAGCAGUAGUGAAUCUGCCGCAAGUGGCGAAAGCCUGACGGAGCAACGCCGCGUGAGGGAUGAAGGUCUUCGGAUCGUAAAACUCUGUUAUUAGGUAAGAACAAUUGUGUAAGUAACUAGGCACGUCGUGACGGUACCUAAUCAGAAAGCCCCGGCUAACUACGUG